AGGAAAAAGGAAAAAGGAAAAAGAGGGAGAGUGAGAUAGGAAUUUAAUAAGAGAUCAUCAUCUUCAUAAAUCUAACAUGGGUCACCAUUCUUGCUGCAAUCAACAGAAGGUUAAGAGAGGCCUUUGGUCGCCUGAGGAAGAUGAAAAGCUCAUUAGGUACAUCACCACCCAUGGUUAUGGCUGUUGGAGUGAAGUCCCAGAGAAAGCUGGUUUCCCCUCUCUCUCCCUCUCUCUCUCCGCCUCACUUUUAACCUUCUUUUUUUCUUUUGUUAAUUGAAGUGUAUAAUUUAUUGAACUUGCUAUAUUAUUAUCUUUUUCAUGAACAAUUUUAGGGCUUCAAAGAUGUGGCAAAAGCUGUCGUUUGAGAUGGAUUAAUUAUUUGAGGCCUGAUAUUAGAAGAGGAAGGUUUACACCUGAGGAGGAGAAGUUGAUUAUUAACCUUCAUGGAGUUGUUGGGAACAGGUUUAAUUUCUUAUGUAUACUCUAAUUAAUUAAACUGCAUUCCACAUUUUAACUACAUAAGUUGUAAAUUAACUCAAAUUUAAAUUAACUCAAAUUUCUCAUAUAUAUACACCAUCUGGGUAUCUUUAGAAUCUAGGGUUCUUCAUUUUUCCCAAUAUAAUAUAAAAUAACAUUUAAAGUUUUCAAUAGAAUCACAUGUGACUUGUUUCUUAACUUGGGGAUAUUUUUUUCCUUUGUUGGAUGGAGGGGAUCGAAAGUUGCUUGCAAUCAGACCUCGUAUAGUGAAAGUUGGUAUCUUCUUGAAUUUUCUAAAAGCAAACUUCAAAAUUAAGUCUGGCAUGUGUUUCUCUGAUUUAAUUUUCUUUUAAAUAUUCACAAGAAGCAACCCCCAUUUUAGAAAACAGUUCCUUAAGUAGCUGUCAACUGUAUCUUAGCAGACGUUAAGAAGGCAAUAUCAGAGGUUGUAAAACACAUUUUCACCGGAAAAAUACAUGUCUACACAUAUGGAACCUCAUCACCUUCCUUGUCACUUGAAGAUCACUGCUUCUCUGAUAAAUUUAUCUCUUCCUUCUUGAGAUCUAUGUGCUAAUAAGCAUAUACAUGCAUGUGGAAUCGCAGAUGGGCUCACAUAGCAAGUCACUUGCCUGGAAGAACAGACAAUGAGAUAAAGAACUAUUGGAAUUCAUGGAUCAAAAAGAAGAUACGAAAACCUUCAGCACCUACAACCACAGUUGCUGCAACCAGUAGCGGUACUGAUCAUUCACAUAUAACUUAUGGUUCAAACCAACUAGAUUUAGUGCACCAAGAUUUGACAACAAGGCCUCAGGUUCAAGAAACCCUAUUUUCAUCUUCAGCUCCCUUAUUUAUGUUUGACACUGGUACUAAUCCACUUGAUGGAAUUGCGGAUAGUAGUGUACGAGGGGAGCUUUUUCAUGAGCAUGCGAGCUUGAACACUGAAACUUGGAAUACAAACCAACACCAUCAUCACCAAGUCCAAGCCCUACCCCCACAGGCUACAUUUAGUAUUGGAAUGGAUACUAAUUACUUGCCACCAUUGAUUGAGAAUAUGGAGCACAUGGUGCCCAUGGAAAUGCAAUCUUGCAGCAUGGAUGAUGAAGGAGAGAUAGCAUUGGGGUGCUUACAGAGGCAAGAACUCAAUGAAUGGGUCGAAUCCCAACAAUGUUCAAACUUUCUGUUUUGGGAUAAUGUUGAUGGACCACUUAGUGGAGAAGAAAUUGCACCAACUUCAUCAAGUAUGGGAGCUACACUCUCCUCCUUCCCUUCAUCUCUAUGACUAUAAGAUUUUAUUUAUGAAUAUGCGUCUCUCCCCCUACUGAUCUUUUUCUAUAGAGCUUUCAAAAAUGGUUCAGGCUUUUGAAGACAGUUUGUUAAUU
rnacentral:misc_RNA from 1 species